rnacentral:lncRNA from 1 species
AUGCUGAUGGCAGUCUCUGGGCACGGCAGUGAGGGGCACGCUGGGUCACAGGGCGAGGACGAUUCUCCCCGUAGGCUCCUGUCCCUCUGGUUUGGGAGGGGGCGAGUAGUGUGGCUCUGGGGCCCGGGCCCUUCCUCCCCGCCUGACGCAGGCCGGAGCUGCCCAGCUGGGUGCAGGACGCCAUCUUGGGUCAAGGUGCAGCCGCAGGGGGCUCCCCUCGGGAGCUGGGCAAGAGAGCCCCUGAGAACCAGCGAGCCCCCCACUCCGCGCCCAGGGCGCCAACACCUACUCAACUGGCUUUGCCGUAGAGAGAGAGGAGGAAGGACGGAGAGGAUGGAGAGAGAAGGGGGAAAUAACAGAGGGGUGGAGGGAAGGGAGUGGGUGCCCCCAAGAAGGGAGGCUCCAGAAAAGCGAAAUGCAGUUUGGCAGCCCGAGGGCCGCGGGCCCCAGCGACGAGGGGCUGGGGGAGGCCGGGGGCGGGCCCUGGACCCACGCCAGCUCGGUCCGCGCCGAGAGGGAGGGAGGACUGGGCAGCUGGGGGAGGGGAGCCGGGGUGAGGGCGGGACACGGACUGCGGCCGCCUGCGGCUCCGAAGCUCGGGGUCUCCCGGGGCGCGGGGACGCGGGGCCGAAGACCCCGAUUCGCAGCCUUGGCGAGGCCUCGUCCUUCACUGUACAGAUGCGAAGCUUUCAAGGACACGUCUGCACCGGCCCAGCGGGGGUGCGUGUGCGUGAGUGUGUCCGCGUGCGUGUGAAUGUGUGCGGGGGGGGCGUGCUGCUGCAGGGGGCGACCCCGGGUGCCCCCACCCGCACCGCUCCCGGCCCGGGCCCGGCCCCGCCGCUCUCACCCCCGCGUUUUCCGGCCCCCGCGGCCCCGGCCCGGGAUCUUCGCCCGCCCCCGCCCCGCCCCCACACUGCGGCGCCGCCGCCACCGCCGCCGCCGCCCCGGCUCCCACGGCCCGCGGCGGGGGCAGGGAGGAGCCAGGCACGACGUCCCCCCCGCGCGCCGCCUGGCCCUCCGCGCGGAGGUGUGCCCCCCAAGUGGCACUCUCCCCACCUCCGCCGCCCCUCCCAGAUCCGCUGGCACCCCGCACCCCCAGCCACAGGUGGCCGGAGGAGGAUCGCUACGCAGCGCUCCCCGGCCCGGCCCCCAGAUCACCCCUUGGCCCGCCCCCGGGGGCCUCCCGGGUCCCCCGCCCCGCCGGGCCGAGGAGGGCCGGGAGCCGGGGGGAGGGGCGGGGGGCCGGGUCGUGCCAGGCUGCCAUUUUCUGCCGCCGCCGCGGAGCCUGCGCGGGGCCCGGCCCCCGCCCCCCUCCCCCGCUCCCUGCGGGCCGCCGCGGGGGCCGAUUAUUCCGGGUCGGGGUCCGCGCCCUCCAGCGCCCCGGCCGCAGGCCCCAGGCGGGGCCCCGGGGCGGGGGCAGGGCCCGGAAGGCGGGGGCGGCCAGGCCCGGGCCCCUGCGGCAGCGCCGAGCCGGGCACCGCGGCGGCGGCCGGCGGUGGAGGGGGCCCCCCGCGGCAUUGUAUAGACUUGAACUUGAGCCCGGAGCCGGGCGGGGGCGGGGAGGGGGCUCCGCGCCGGGAGCGGGCGGGACGGGAGGGGGCGCCUGCCGAGCCCGCGGGGACAUAA